rnacentral:misc_RNA from 1 species
CCGUAGGUGAACCUGCGGAAGGAUCAUUCAUAAUAAGUGUUUUAUGGCACUUUUUAAAUCCAUAUCCACCUUGUGUGCAAUGUCAGUCGAUCUUCUUUAUGGAGAUCGGCCAAACAUCAACCAUAUCUUUUAACUCUUUGUCUGAAAAAUAUUAUGAAUAAACAAUUCAAAAUACAACUUUCAACAACGGAUCUCUUGGCUCUCG